UGCUGGAUCAUUACCUUGUCGUCGACACUGACAAAGUUUUGUCUUGUGGUGCCGUGUUGCCGUCGGGGCUGGCGUUCAGAUCGGACUUGUGCCUGUCCGUUGCGCGCUGGCUCCGGUGGGUCCACGACUUCACCACUGUUCUGUGGACGAGUAUGUGAGGCGCCCGGCCGCUGGGCAAAUGGUGAGCAGCUUCCGUCCUGGAUUCAGGCUCUCGCCAAGACUUCAUGCCCCACAUACGACUAACGGCUGCGCUGGAUCCUAAGCAUCACCCGAGCAGUUGUGCCGCAAAGUCCGUGACUGCGUGGUAGGGUGUUGUGGUAGACCCUGGUGUGCCCGCCUUGGCCCAGGAGUAGGAUUAAUGAGUACCCAGUUCGGGGUGCCGCCAGCGAACAAUCUUCCAACUCAAUUUUUCCAACAAACAAAAACUAUAUUAGUCUUGCCGGUGGAUCACUCGGCUCGUAGGUCGAUGAAGAUCGCAUCCAAAUGCGAUAGUUAGUGUGAACUGCAGAUAUUCUGAGCACCAAAAUGUCGAAUGCACAUUGCGCCUUGGGACCUCCAUCCCUAGGCACGCCUGGUUCAGGGUCGUUUCUUCAAACAAAGAGCCGUUCCGCUCUUAGCACGACCCGGCGCUAGCAGCCAAGCCGCAUGGCAGCUACGUGCCGGGCCUUCAGUGUUCUGUGCUGUGGACAGCUGCCGCUCAGGGGCAACACGGCCGGUCUUGCAAACACUUGUCUCUCCUUCACGGGGGGCAAUGACCGGUCGUUGGACUCUGCCUAGUGUCGGUGGCUGUCUGCCUCAUUCGUUUUCCGACCUGAACUCAGACGUGAUUACCCGCUGAACUUAAGCAUAUCAGUAAGCGGAGGAAAAGAAACUAACAAGGAUUCCCUUAGUAACGGCGAGUGAACCGGGAUCAGUCCAGCGCUAAAUCUCGUCGUUUCGGCGGCGCGAAAUGUAGCGUAUAGGCAGUGUGCUUGGCCAUGGCUCUGGGCACAAGUUUCCCAUGACCGGGGCGCCAGAGAAGGUGAUAGACCUGUAGCGUCCGGAGCCUAGGCUGACUGCUCUGUCUUGGAGUCGGGUUGUUUGGGAUCGCAGCCCAAAGCAGGUGGUAUACUUCAUCUAAGACUAAAUAUCCCUACGAGACCGAUAGCAAACAAGUACCGUGAGGGAAAGUUGCAAAGCACUUUGAAGAGAGAGUUAAAGAGGACGUGAAACCGGUAGGAUGGAAACGGAUAGAGCCAGCGAAGUCGCUCGUAUUCAGCCAAAGGCCGGUGGCAUCGGUGGGUCGGGUUGCUAAUCACGCCUGGCCAGCCUUUUGUCCACCGGUUGAGGUGCAUUUGCGGGCGUUUGCGCUGAGACUUGCGAGUCAGCUUCUGGACCCGGGCCUAGAGGCCGUCCUCUGGGCGGAACCUUGGCACGGCGACGGUUGUUUGGCCUGCUCGUACCACGGCUUGGCCUACGGACCUGGGCGGCUGGUGUCGUCUGCUUGUGGUGGCAUCGCAUGCGAUGACCCACCUGUGGGCGGCUCAGUCGUUUGGCGUUCCCAAGUCGGCUCUCGGUGUAAAAGCUGGUCACCUAUCCGACCCGUCUUGAAACACGGACCAAGGAGUUUAGCGUAUGCGCGAGCCAUUGGGUGUUCAAAACUCACAGGCACAAUGAAAGUGAAGGCCCAGCCGCUGGGCUGACAUGCGAGUUGGCGGCUCACGGGCCGUCGAUGCAGCAUGGUCCCAUUUCGGUCGCUUGCGACGGAGUGGAGACAGAGCGUAUGCGCUGAGACCCGAAAGAUGGUGAACUAUUCCUGAGCAGGAUGAAGCCAGAGGAAACUCUGGUGGAAGUCCGAAGCGAUUCUGACGUGCAAAUCGAUCGUCUGACUUGGGUAUAGGGGCGAAAGACUAAUCGAACCAUCUAGUAGCUGGUUCCCUU
rnacentral:misc_RNA from 1 species